AGCUCUGUUGUUAGGGAAGAACAAGUGCGAGAGUAACUGCUCGCACCUUGACGGUACCUAACCAGAAAGCCACGGCUAACUACGUGCCAGCAGCCGCGGUAAUACGUAGGUGGCAAGCGUUGUCCGGAAUUAUUGGGCGUAAAGGGCUCGCAGGCGGUUUCUUAAGUCUGAUGUGAAAGCCCCCGGCUCAACCGGGGAGGGUCAUUGGAAACUGGGAAACUUGAGUGCAGAAGAGGAGAGUGGAAUUCCACGUGUAGCGGUGAAAUGCGUAGAGAUGUGGAGGAACACCAGUGGCGAAGGCGACUCUCUGGUCUGUAACUGACGCUGAGGAGCGAAAGCGUGGGGAGCGAACAGGAUUAGAUACCCUGGUAGUCCAC
rnacentral:rRNA from 1 species